GAUUCCCUCUUUUUGAGCCGGAUUCUUCUUCUUAUCGUGCUCAUACUCCUCACUGACCAUAGAAUGGUCAAACGAGGGGCCAUGCUCCGCAGCGGCGACCGGCUGCGGUGGAUUAGCCCAUCGCUCGUCCGCAGCGCCGUAGUUCAU
ensembl:ncRNA Y73F8A.1172 ncRNA